CCUACGGGUGGCAGCAGUGAGGAAUAUUGGUCAAUGGCCGGAAGGCUGAACCAGCCAUGCCGCGUGAAGGUCAGUGCCCUAUGGGCGUUAAACUUCUUUUGUGCGGGAGCAAUAAUGGUCAAGUGUGGCCAGACGAGAGUACCGUACGAAUAAGCAUCGGCUAACUCCGUGCAAGCAGCCGAGGUAAUAAGGGGGAUGCAAGCGUUAUCCGGAUUUAUUGGGUUUAAAGGGUGCGUAGGCUGGGAGGUAAGUCAGCGGUGAAAUGCCCCCGCUCAACGGGGUGAAGUGCCAUUGAUACUGCCUUGCUGGAAUGCGGAUGCCGUGGGAGGAAUGUGUGGUGUAGCGGUUGAAUGCAUAGAGAUCACACAGAACACCGAUUGCGAAGGCAUCUCACGAAUCCGCGAUUGACGCUGAUGCACGAAAGCGUGGGUAUCAAACAGGAUUAGAUACCCUAGUAGUC
rnacentral:rRNA from 1 species